rnacentral:rRNA from 1 species
UGCCGACGAUGUGAUAUGAGAUGUUGUAUUACAUUAUAGAAAUUAGAGUUUUUUGGCUCUGGGGAUAGUAUGAUCGCAAGAUUGAAAAUUAAAGAAAUUGACGGAAGAAUACCACAAGGAGUGGAUUGUGCGGCUUAAUUUGACUCAACGCGAGGUAACUUACCAAUAUUUUAUUGUUCUGCGAGGAUAUGAUCUGAGGAUGAUAAUAGUGGUGCAUGGCCGUUUUCAAUGGAUGCUGUG